UCCUCCAGCAAUGGGCAAAAAGACACCUUGUCAGUGGUAUUCUUAUAUCAGUCAGGGGCAAAACAGAUGGCAGUCCAUUGUUCAUUCUAAUUUGAUGCUUGGUUUGGUAGCCAAAGCUGUCUUAUACCAAGGACUCAUAA